rnacentral:miRNA from 1 species
UCCCUCGCCCCCUCUCCGGAGC